UGGGGAACACGGCUGGGACUCACCUGCUGACUGAAGGCUUCAGAGGGCACCUCCUCCUCCCAUCUAUGUCGUCUGCCACUCCAAGAGACUCUCUGGUUCAAUUUCUCCUGAGAAGGAACCUUCCACCUGCCAUUUAGUGGAGAAAGGGCAACUUGGGAUGGAAAUUUUCUUUAUACAGACUUUUAGGUGGUCCUGCUGUUUUUAAAAGGAGACAUCUACCCUCAAUUUUGAGCAUUUCCAGGAGCCUGUUGUGGGACAUCAGCUUGCUUUUCUUUCGCCUCCCACUUUGUUUUUCUUUUUGUGGACACAUGUGUUUCCUCCUCCUCCAUUCUGUCAACCGAGUUAUCUUCUCUCAUCCACUCUGUGAAUUUGUUGUAUUUUUAUUUCUGCACAGACAUUUCUGGGGCAGGGAAAAACAAAUGCAUGGCAAUCCAACAUGUUUAAAUGAAAAGUUUUGCCUGGAUUUUUGUGAGCACUUUAACUCAUGGGCAGAGAAGUAAAAGUCAAAGAGCAUGGAACUAAAUGCCAGGAGACUGGGGUCUCACCCCAGCACCUCCCUGCCCUGCUUUGUGG
rnacentral:lncRNA from 1 species